CAACUCGCUCUGUAACAACAUCGAGCAUCUGUCUCGUUGACACUUCAAUCAUUUCUGACAUUUCAGCAUUUUUUAUGGCUCGUUUUCGUUAUUGCAUUUCAUGAAAAUACAAAUGUAAUAAUUCCCGGACAAGUGUCAAUUACACAUUUUAUUUAAAAAAUGUUAAAUUUGUGAGAUAAAUGCAACGCAGUGUAAGUAAAAAGCAAGCGACGUUUCUGCAUGCAAGCCACAUGUUGGACACUUGUGUAGGCAAGUUAACGUGCUAAUCUAAGAAUUCUAAUAAGAAAGUGUGUGUGGAAAUGCGGCGGAUGCCAUGUGAGAAAAUUGUGAAAUUCAUACAAGUGUGUGUGAUUAUAUGAAAUGCAAAACCUGUCAAUUAUAGUGUGCAAUAUCGCUUUUAAUUACAGUAGAAUGUCACAAGUCAAAUUACUUACAUUUGUAGUAACACAGAUACUACGAUAAAUUUACCUACACAUAACAGUUACUUUAUUUAAGUUAAUCAGCUGUUAGUGACUAAAUAAAACAUUAAAAAGAUUGGAAAUUAAUUAACAUACUAGAUACGGCACGAUUUCUUUGGGGCCACGAUAUGAUAGUAUGGACGUAUGAGGAGGUCCUCAGGAUUAAAAAAUUCAUACAUAUAUACUCGCCUCAGACUUAUAGUUUUGUUGUAUUUAAAACUCAAAAGUUGUAAAAGUAAUGGAGCUAUUUUACUAUGUUUAACACAUUGGGUUUUUUUAUGCAUUAAAAAACGCAUAAUAAUCCUAUAUCUUGGAUAUAUUUCAAUGGGUUGAAUUUAUGCAUUAAAAAACGCAUAAUAAUCCCAUAUCUUGGAUAUAUUUCAAUGGGUUGAAUUCAAAAAUCAUUUUAAAUGCGUGAAAGUGCGCAUCUCAGCAAAUAAACACCACUUCAGUACAUUAACUCCUAUCGCCCGCAUGUAUUAUUUAGAUUUUAAGCAUUAUACGCUCAAUUUGGAAAUUUAGUAGUCGGAGCAUUGACAUUAACUAGGCAACUAACUGAGAACACGUCAAACAACAGGUUAAAAAGACUAAACCUACUAAUAGUUAUCACUUAUAUUUUUGUAUAUUAGAGUGUAUUGCGUUAUCAACGUGGCACAGAUAGUCGGGCAAGAUAAUUUCAAACACGUCAAGGAAGCUUGCUCACCCAAUAAACAUUAGUAACAAUUAACCAUUGGAAUUGUACACAUUGGAGCGCCAGAACGCAGACGAGCAGCGAUGACACCGAAAAUUGACAAGGAGCUGCUGCCGAUGAAGGCGCAUUAUUUCUUCUUCAAUGCAGGAACAGCGCCGGUAAUGCCAUUUAUGCCCACAUUGGCGCGUCAAUUAGGCUUCUCCACAGUGGUCAUUGGUACUAUGUAUACGAUUUUGCCUAUUGUUGGCAUGCUGGCCAAGCCGCUUUUUGGAUUCGUCGCAGAUCGCUACCAACGCCAUCGCACACUUUUCCUCAUCGGCGAAGUCCUUACCGCUAUAGCAUUUUUCCUCAUACAGUUCACACCAACCAUUCCAGAAGCACUGCCCACAAUGGAAUUCAACUGUCACGGCGGCGCAUCUACACUCAAAUACUAUUCCGAAUUUGAUAAGUGCAUAGAAAACAAUCUAGAAAACUAUUACGGCGAUCGUGUUUUAACCUGCCAGCUACGUUGUCAAGCAGUUCCGGAGAAAUUAGAUUUCGUUUGUAAUAACUGGUUACAUAACAACAGUUCAACUAAUAGCAACAACAAAAACGUUACAUGUCCUGAUCGCAACAAUCCCCAACUGAAUUUCACCACUUUCCUAGACAUGAGUAAAAUGGAGAUGCCAGGUGAUCAUUUAUUCUUUGUCAUACCACACGAUAGAGGUCAAAUGAAUGGUGAAAAUAUAACACUAAAUUGUCCAUAUGAUAAACCGUUAUUCAAUACAAGCUGUCAAGUAGAGUGCAAUGAUAAAUAUUUCCAUAGUCAAUUGACACAAAACACAGCGAUCAAUAAUGCUGAUGUGUGGGGCAUGCAUCAAUUUUGGUAUUUCUUCAUUAUGCUCAUCGUAAGUUGGAUCGGCAUGGCGGUGGUGGUAAGCAUUGGUGAUGCGAUUUGCUUUUCAAUAUUGGGCGAUCGUCAUCAUUUGUAUGGCAAUCAACGUUUAUGCGGUUCCAUUGGUUUUGGUGUGUUCUCCAUUAUUGCCGGUGUGCUGGUGGAUCAAAUGUCGCACGGUAGCGUAAAUAAAGACUAUACAAUCGUGUUUUGGAUGACAUUGGUUAUAAUAGGUUUCGAUAUGAUCGCGUCUACGAAGUUAAAGCACACACAAACACACCUCUCCCCCAACAUACUCAAGGAUGUCGGCAAAAUGUUUCUCUCUAUUCGUUGUGUGAUCUUCUUCAUCUGGUGUAUCUCGAUUGGCUUGUGCACAGCGCUCGUUUGGAACUUUCUAUUCAUGUAUUUGGAUGAGUUGGGUGAAAAACUGGAGGGUUGUCAAAAUUCCAUGAAAACACUCGAGGGCAUAGCCAUGGGCAUACAAUGUUUUGGUGGCGAAUUACCCUUCUUUUUUCUCUCCGGUUGGAUUUUGCGUAAGAUCGGUCAUAUAAAUGCUAUGAGUUUAGUACUCUUUGCUUUCGGUGUUCGUUUCAUACUCUAUUCGGUGUUGGUGAAUCCAUGGUGGGUAUUACCCAUUGAAAUGUUAAACGGUGUCACAUUCGGUAUUUUCUACUCCACCAUGGCUUCGUAUGCGAGUAUUGUUGCGCCGCGCGGCACUGAAGCGACUAUACAGGGCUUAGUCGGCGCCAUUUUCGAGGGUGUGGGCGUAUCUAUGGGCAGCUUUAUCGCAGGCUAUCUCUUUGAAUCUGUCAACGGCAGUGGAACUUUCCUGAUUUUUGGAAUUUUCGCCUUUAUUGCAUUUAUUGUGCAUGUGUUGGUGCAGUGUUAUUUGCAGCGAAAUGCACAAGGGGCUGCCGAUGCUAAUGGUAAGGAAACGGUUGUAGUAGACAAUGUUACACAAGAAGUGAAACAGUUACCUGAAGAAAAUGAUAAAAUUUGGACUGUAGAUGUAACGAACCCAAAGGCUGUUGGCACUAAAAUCACAGAGGUUGAUUUAAGCUGAAUUUAGGAAGAGUUUUAAAUGCGGGUAUUGAGGGAAUUUGGUACUUAAAAAGAAAUUGUAGUGUAAAGAAAGUGUAAAUAAUAAUUAAAUAGUGGUGAACUUCCUAUUUACGCGUUUUUGUUCACCUUAACCGUUUUUGAACCCUUCUGUACACUAAAGUGAGUUAUAGCUACAUAAAGUGUAGCCUUACGUGAAUUUGAGUAUUUGUUAUAAUUCGAAAACAAGGUCAACUGUUUAGCACUAACAAAGUGAAAAACCAGUUGUGUUAAAUAAUUAGUUUUCAAAUAACUGUCAUAAUAGUUGCACUCCAUUAAAAAAAUCAUCGAAUUUCAAAAUGCGUUAUUUAAAAAUUAGUAAUCAGACUUUUUUUUUCAAAGUUUUUGGUAAUUUUAUACAAAAAAUUUGAAUUUUUAAUAAAUAUAGUUUUAUGCAAAAUAUUUUAUCUGAAUUAAAACUGUAAGCUUUACUAAAAGUAGAAAACGCAUAAAAAAUUAUCGUGCCCCAUCGCAAUUUCGAAACGCUUUGUUGAAUUUGUGGACCACACAAGUAAUUCAAAAAACAAAAAAAAAUAUGUUCCUUACUACUUUGUAGUUUGUAGUUAAUUCUUUGAAAGUAUGUGUACUCAUGGAAGUAGAUUGUUUUAAGAUAUGUGAUUUCGAAAGUAAUUUGUAGCAUAGUCGAAACUAUUUUUGUCUGAGGCAUGUUAGCUUUUGUUUUGCGAGUUUUUUGAUUAAAUAUUGUGUAACGUUAUGUGUGUUGUUGAAUAUUGUACCAUAUAAUAGACCAUAUAUAGAACAUAUUUUUGUUUGCGAAAAUCGAAAAAAGUGCGUGUAUGAUCGAUAAACUAUCAACACAGCUGUUUUACAAAACCGUAUCGAUGAUUUAUGCCUUACUACAACAAAAUAAUAUAAUUUUGUCGAUACAAUAACACCGAGUCUCGAUUUAGAGGCUUAUCAAUAAUAUUAAAUGACAUUUUCAACAUUUCCAUUGUUUUUAACGAUAUUAUGACAGAAUUAUGAUUAGAAAAAGAAAAGUUUAGAAUUUAUGGCUUAUUUUUCAAAUAUUAAAAUAAUAGUUGCGACAUUUCCGGUGUUUUUAACGAUAUUAUGACAACAGAAAUAAUAUAACUUUGUCGAUACAAUAACACCAAGUUUCGAUUUAGAGGCCUACUAAUCAAUAUUUGAUAAUUAUAUUCUCAACAUUGGCGAUCUUUUUUUACGAAUAUCUGUUUAGAAAAAUUAGAAUAAAUUUAAAUAUUUUAAUUGCAUUUUCAAAGAACAAUAUUAGAGGAAAAAUGUUAGAUCUUACUCUCUAGUGACAUUUUAAUAUUUCCUCUAUCACUUUAACCCAAUUUCGGAAUUGAUAAUUGCCUACUUUACUGGUACUUACACGCUCUUAUCUCCGUUACAUUGUUAUGCCUUUUUUUCCAUGUGUGCGCUACAAAUUCAAUUUUAGUUAAUCGGUUGCUAUUGUCAGAACUUAAAUUUAUAUAUUUGUGUGAUAUUAUUAUCUAAAUGUCUUUGUAAUGCUAUUACACUUUGUUGUGUAAAUAUUACAAUUAUUUGUCAACGCCUAUCAACUUGUACAUACAUACUUUCGUAUAUACUGGAAAAUAACGCGACGCAUAUCUGUGGUAAAUGUGUUGCAUGCAAAUGAGUUGUAAUGAAAUGUAACAACUACUGACGAUGUAUGUAAAUAUACCUUCUUUCGCGCGCUGUUAAAUAUUUGACGCCCAACGAUGCAAUGCAUAUGCUCAACGAUCAAGAAUACAUUAUUGUUGCAUAAAUAAGUGAUUCGAUUACAUUAGAGAUGAUAAGCAAACAACUGUUGCAACAGUUUUAGACGCACCUCCUGUGCAAAAGAACGGUUAUGCAGUCUAAGGGUAUUUUAUAUGGCCGCGGAAUGUGUUGUAACUGCCUGCUCUUGCUUAUAAGUUUUAUUUUUACCCUGAGCUGUGAACAUUUUCAACUUGUUGCGUACUUAUUAAGAGUGGCAAUGACACGCUGCUAAAGUGAAAGCUGUGUACUAACUCAGUUAAUACAACAUAGUAUUUAUAUUUUAUAAAAUAGUAUGUAGAAUGCUUGGUGCUUUUUUACUAUUAUUCUAUUUUUUUUUUUUUUAGCAAAGUAUUUCUGUGUUUUAAAGAUCAAUUGUAGAGGCAUUACUUUUUUCUAUACUUAGUGUUUACAAAUUUUGUUAUCAUAAAAACUUAUAAAAUAUUGGUUAUAUUGUAUUAUCUAAGCAAUUAAUUCUAUGUAUAUCACAAAUGCUGUAAAUGCACAAAGCUUUAGAUUAGUUUUAACUAGUAUUUUUCAUGAGUGUUUUAUUGAAUGUACUGUCAGUUGAAAUAGUUUUUGCUAUUUACAAAAAAAACUUUGUUUUCAAUAUAUGCAUCUGGCUUGAAGCCGCUAAAUACAUAUAUAUGUUUGUAAUAUUUAAUACUUUCUACCAUUAAGUCUCUAAACAUAAUUAUUAAUUUCAAUUGCUAAAUAAUUUUGUUCGAUACUCUUACUACAACCAUUUGUUGCUGCAACACCAAAGCAUUUGAGUAUUGUGCACAAAUUUUUUCACUGGUCACAAAAACUUAAAAAAAGAGAAAAUAAAAUUAUUUUAUUUUUUUCAAUUUUUUUUAGCAUAGUAUAUAAACAUGCAUUCUUUAUACUUUAAGCAUAAAUUGUAUACGAUAAGGCAUGGCGCUAAAGAGCAUUAUU